rnacentral:rRNA from 1 species
GUACUGUGCGAACGUUAUUCGGAAUCACUGGGCUUAAAGGGUGCGUAGGCGGCGAUUCAAGUCAGGUGUGAAAUGCCUGAGCUCAACUGAGGCAUUGCGCUUGAAACUGAAUUGCUAGAGUAUCCUAGGGGUGUGCGGAGCUGCCAGUGGAACGGUGAAAUGUGUUGAUAUUGGCAGGAACACCGGAGGCGAAGGCGGCACACUGGGGGAUAACUGACGCUGAGGCACGAAAGCCAAGGGAGCGAACGGGAUUAGAUACCCCGGUAGUCUUGGCUGUAAACGAUGAGCACUGGGCGGGAGGGGGUUUCCCUUUUCUGCCGUAGCGAAAGCGUUAAGUGCUCCGCCUGGGGAGUAUGGUCGCAAGGCUG